UACGAAGGGGGCUAGCGUUGUUCGGAAUCACUGGGCGUAAAGGGCGCGUAGGCGGCUUUGUAAGUCGGGGGUGAAAGCCUGUGGCUCAACCACAGAAUUGCCUUCGAUACUGCAUGGCUUGAGACCGGAAGAGGUAAGUGGAACUGCGAGUGUAGAGGUGAAAUUCGUAGAUAUUCGCAAGAACACCAGUGGCGAAGGCAGCUCGCUGGGACGGUACUGACACUGAGACGCGAAAGCGUGGGGAGCAAACAGG
rnacentral:rRNA from 1 species